AUGGCUGCCAUUCAUGCCGACCCACAGAUCUUGGAGGAGCACCUCACCGUCGAGGCCACCAUUGACGCCUCGCGCGUCGACACCGUGAUGCGAUUGGCUGCUUUAAACGAUAGUUCAUGGCGUUUUCUCGAGGCCACCAUUGGUGCCUUCGGCGAAGUCUACGAGGUGUUUUCUCAGCGUGCAUGUGCUUACCUCAUCUCGAGAGCCAGCAGGUUGGUGCCCGGAGCGGCUCAGGCAACUCACCACUACAAUGAGGGCACUGACGAUGUUGAGGCCUCGCCCUCUUCCAUGUCCAAGGAGCCAAUCGUCAUCGAUAUCUCCGACAAUGAGGAGUAG
rnacentral:rRNA from 1 species